AAGGCCUUAGCUUAAUUAAAGUGUUUGAGUUGCAUUCAAGUGAUGUAUAAUAAAACUAUACAGGUCUUG
rnacentral:tRNA from 1 species